GACGUAGGGCGCGAGCGUUGUCCGGAUUUAUUGGGCGUAAAGAGCUCGUAGGCGGCUUGUCGCGUCGGAUGUGAAAGCCCGGGGCUUAACUCCGGGUCUGCAUUCGAUACGGGCAGGCUAGAGUGUGGUAGGGGAGAUCGGAAUUCCUGGUGUAGCGGUGAAAUGCGCAGAUAUCAGGAGGAACACCGGUGGCGAAGGCGGAUCUCUGGGCCAUUACUGACGCUGAGGAGCGAAAGCGUGGGGAGCAAACAGG
rnacentral:rRNA from 1 species